UCACACUCACAGCCUGCACCGGCCUGUGGAGGAGGCCACAGUGUCACUCACAGCCUGCACCGACCUGUGGAGGAGGCCACAGUAUCACACUCACACCUGGAAAAUUGUGACAGAACUCUGGAAUGAUCAGAACUAUCUUAUUUGGCUAAUCAGCACAGAGCCUGAACUGGAACUCGGAUCGAAAGACCCAUCACACAACCUUCUUCUACCGUGUCGUGGAGCCU
rnacentral:lncRNA from 1 species